AGCUCCCUCCCCUGCACCGCCCACCUCUCCUCAUCCGCGAAUUGAGAGAACUCUGUGGAGAUGGGUGUGGCCGGACUUUUCAACUUAUUGAACUGUUGGGACCGGGGUAGGGAAGGCAAGGAAAGCACUGGAAGUCGCUAGACGGGAUUCCCCGCGCAAAGAAUUCUCUGGAUCACCUCCUCAUCUCACCCUCAGCCUAACUCUGGAUAUGGGGAAAAGACCCCUCCACUCCCUGCUACCAGUGACCGGGGAAAGCAGAGUCUGUAUGCCAGAAGCACAAAGGGAGAAUGGGUCCACGUGUACUCUUCCAGUCCUGUCCACCCCUCAACUCACCGUGCAUUGCUGGAGGCCCCUGGGCUCUCGGUCUGCCCUGAUCGAGACCCCCAUUCCAAAACACAGGCCAGGAGGCAGACCAACAAAAAGAAGC